rnacentral:rRNA from 1 species
CCUACGGGAGGCAGCAGUGGGGGAUAUUGGACAAUGGGGGAAACCCUGAUCCAGCGACGCCGCGUGAGUGAAGAAGUAUUUCGGUAUGUAAAGCUCUGUCAGCAGGGAAGAAAGAAAUGACGGUACCUGACCAAGAAGCCCCGGCUAACUACGUGCCAGCAGCCGCGGUAAUACGUAGGGGGCAAGCGUUAUCCGGAAUUACUGGGGGGAAAGGGAGCGUAGGCGGUGAUGCAAGUCAGGAGGGAAAGGCGGGGGCCCAACCCCCGGACUGCUCUGGAAACUGGGUAACUUGAGUGCAGGAGAGGGAAGCGGAAUUCCUGGUGUAGCGGUGAAAUGCGUAGAUAUUAGGAGGAACACCAGUGGCGAAGGCGGCUUACUGGACUGUAACUGACGUUGAGGCUCGAAAGCGUGGGGAGCAAACAGGAUUAGAUACCCGAGUAGUC